ncrna:unclassified sequences TwoGGAY RNA
UACGAAGCUGCUUAGAGUCUGUAGAAUUGCAUACGAAAAACCAACAACGCCCAUGCAUGGACGCAUGGGCGAGGUGUUAUGCGCCAUGGACGGCGCAUAAAAGCCGGUUGUGUCAAAAAGCCACAACCGGCAUAUGCAAUUCGUACAGACACUUAGCAGCGUAGUUC